rnacentral:rRNA from 1 species
GCAAGUCGAGGGGUAACAGGGAGCUUGCUCCGCUUACGACCGGCGCACGGGUGCGUAACGCGUAUACAAUCUACCUUUUGCUACGGGAUAGCCCAGAGAAAUUUGGAUUAAUACCGCAUAGUAUACGGAGUCCGCAUGGGCAUUAUAUUAAAGGUUACGGCAGAAGAUGAGUAUGCGUCCUAUUAGCUAGAUGGUGUGGUAGCGGCAUACCAUGGCAACGAUAGGUAGGGGCCCUGAGAGGGGGAUCCCCCACACUGGUACUGAGCACGGCCAGACUCCUACGGGAGGCAGCAGUGAGGAAUAUUGGACAAUGGAGGCAACUCUGAUCCAGCCAUGCCGCGUGCAGGAAGACUGCCAUAUGGGUUGUAAACU